GCAGGAUUAGGUGAGCUGUGAUUGACAGCUGACAUAACCUAUCAGGAAGGGGCAGUCCCUUUUUAAGCGCUGAUUGGGUGCUCCCUGCAAUGCGUCAUGUCCUGUGUUUCCCCGGGGUGUUUUUAACGAUAGCGACAGGUGAGCAUUGUGUGUAAACGUUAGUAGUUUUAAUCUGUGUUUAUUUAAAACUAAUGUUGCGUUGGUUUUAGAGCGUUUGUCUAUCGUGCUGGUGCCUUCCUGUACUUGAGUGGAUUAAAUGACUGUUUACCCUCAGUUAGCUGUUGUUUACCUGAUGUUGGUAAACCUGUGCUGUAAACUGUAAUGUGUCUGAGGUGAUGCCACUGUUUGGAUUCUCCCUUUUGUUCUACGCCGUGCUUCCUCUGUUGCUGCAGUUUGAUUUUCGCGCUGCUGUGUCGUACCGCUGACGCGACGUCACUAUCUUUACCGUGAUACCAUGGACUGUAUACUGUCUGGUUUCUAAGCUUUACUGCAAAAUUCUAUUUCUCAGUGGAGGAUUGUCCAGCACAUUGAAGCUGGCGUAUGGACUUUGUCUUCGCGUCGUAUGAUUUCUUCUGUGUAGCCCAUUUGCCAUUUAUUACUGUGUGUUAUUUUGCUUUCAGGGGCUGGGGGUUUCCACGGGCAAAGGAUCUUGUAAUGGUGGUGGUACAGCGUCAACGGUUGCCGUGCUACACAUUUUUGAUGUGUAUGAGUAUGUGCUCUGAAUUCACGGUGUGGUGUGUGCGUGCUUUUUGAUAAUUUGCGCCAGUGAUCACUCCUGUGGGAACCUCAGCCCUGUAAGUUGAUGUUUUGUGUUUUUUUAUUUGUCAUGUUGACUGUUGCCAGUCAUUGUAUUUUUUUGUAGAAAUUUAUAUUUUCUUUUCUACAGUCGUUUUGUACUUUUGUAAAAUUUUGUUUUGUGUGAUGAUGUGAUGUUUUAUGUAAUUUGUUUUGUGUCUCUUAUUGUUGGAAUAUAUAAGAGCUGUAUGGAGUAACAUCAGUCUAUGCCUGUUUUAAGACAUUCUCAUACCUCAAUGAAGGUUGCAAAAAUAAAUCUUAUAUUUUUGUAUUAUACCCACGUCUCCUGCUCUCUUGUUCUGAGGAAUGAACUUGUGUGCCUUACCACCUUUUUGGGUGUAAGGAUUAUUUCCCUGGGUGUAAGUCCCGGGGUGGCGUAGUCGGAGUUUUAUGCAAAAUCUUUGCUUUUGUCAUAAAGGUUUCCCCCAACCCCCUCGUCACUCCACCACAUUUUGGCGUAUAGUCGGCAGGAUCCUCGAAUUUUGAGUGCAGAGACGUGGGUAUUAUUUUUUUUUGUGUGUAUGUUUGUUUUGUAGGAACCAGACAGCGGCAGUUUUCGUGUCGGAAUCUCAGCACAAUUUGUUGCUGGGCUUGCGUGGUCCGAUCGGUUGCGGUAAGUGGUCCUUGGUUCUAGGAACGGAGGACGAAUCACAGUUUAAUAAAUUUAGAGGUUCCGUAAAGGUAAAUGGGUUAAGAACAAGAGGGAGAAUCUGAAUGUAUUGAUGGGUGAGGGCCAGCUGAGUUUUAUGGGCAGGGUUAAAAAAAAAUGGGGAUCGGGCAUGGCGUAUCAUUAAAGGCACCAUACAAUUGGUUGUCGUACCCUAAUCAUUCUGUAUGAUUCGUACAGUUCUGUUAUGUUUGAAGGUAGGGUAUUACCGAGAGGGUUUUGCCUGUGACUUCAACUUUAUGAAGGGGUGGGGAGGUACAAAUCGGUCCCAUGUCAUUUAUGGUCAGAUGGGGUCCCUCAGAAACCUGGGGUGGAACCAUCUGAAGAGUUUAUUGGUAGGAGAUGUACCCCCCCAGGUCAGUCAUUUUCGGAUGGGGUCCCUCAGAGUCUGAGGUGGAACCAUCUGAUGAAUGUUAUAAUGCAGGAGAUGUAUUCCCGGGUUAGUCAAUUUAAUGUUGGGGUUAGGAGGUACUAAUCGGUCCCAGGAUAUUAGUUGUCGGAUGGGGUCCCUCAGAGUCUGAGGUGGAACCGUCCGAUGAGGGUUAUUGGUAGGAGAUGUACCCCCUCAAGGGAAGUUAUUUCCAGAUGGAGAAAAACCAUCUCAUACAUUUUUAUUGCACCGGGAAGCUCUUGUUUUAGUCAUCUGUUACUGGAGAGGACGUCAGGUCAGUACUCCAACUGAUACCACUUCUUGUAAUUGGCAGGCACAGUGGUUGUGUCUUGCGGAGUGGAUUGUAAAUUUGGUGCCUUGUUCCGACCUUGGGGCUGAGCACCCUGAGGUGGGUUUUGUUUAGUUCACCGUCGGGGCGACGUUGCAGAAACUCGGGGUGGAUUGUAGCAGGAUUAGGUGAGCUGUGAUUGACAGCUGACAUAACCUAUCAGGAAGGGGCAGUCCCUUUUUAAGCGCUGAUUGGGUGCUCCCUGCAAUGCGUCAUGUCCUGUGUUUCCCCGGGGUGUUUUUAACGAUAGCGACAGGUGAGCAUUGUGUGUAAACGUUAGUAGUUUUAAUCUGUGUUUAUUUAAAACUAAUGUUGCGUUGGUUUUAGAGCGUUUGUCUAUCGUGCUGGUGCCUUCCUGUACUUGAGUGGAUUAAAUGACUGUUUACCCUCAGUUAGCUGUUGUUUACCUGAUGUUGGUAAACCUGUGCUGUAAACUGUAAUGUGUCUGAGGUGAUGCCACUGUUUGGAUUCUCCCUUUUGUUCUACGCCGUGCUUCCUCUGUUGCUGCAGUUUGAUUUUCGCGCUGCUGUGUCGUACCGCUGACGCGACGUCACUAUCUUUACCGUGAUACCAUGGACUGUAUACUGUCUGGUUUCUAAGCUUUACUGCAAAAUUCUAUUUCUCAGUGGAGGAUUGUCCAGCACAUUGAAGCUGGCGUAUGGACUUUGUCUUCGCGUCGUAUGAUUUCUUCUGUGUAGCCCAUUUGCCAUUUAUUACUGUGUGUUAUUUUGCUUUCAGGGGCUGGGGGUUUCCACGGGCAAAGGAUCUUGUAAUGGUGGUGGUACAGCGUCAACGGUUGCCGUGCUACACAUUUUUGAUGUGUAUGAGUAUGUGCUCUGAAUUCACGGUGUGGUGUGUGCGUGCUUUUUGAUAAUUUGCGCCAGUGAUCACUCCUGUGGGAACCUCAGCCCUGUAAGUUGAUGUUUUGUGUUUUUUUAUUUGUCAUGUUGACUGUUGCCAGUCAUUGUAUUUUUUUGUAGAAAUUUAUAUUUUCUUUUCUACAGUCGUUUUGUACUUUUGUAAAAUUUUGUUUUGUGUGAUGAUGUGAUGUUUUAUGUAAUUUGUUUUGUGUCUCUUAUUGUUGGAAUAUAUAAGAGCUGUAUGGAGUAACAUCAGUCUAUGCCUGUUUUAAGACAUUCUCAUACCUCAAUGAAGGUUGCAAAAAUAAAUCUUAUAUUUUUGUAUUAUACCCACGUCUCCUGCUCUCUUGUUCUGAGGAAUGAACUUGUGUGCCUUACCACCUUUUUGGGUGUAAGGAUUAUUUCCCUGGGUGUAAGUCCCGGGGUGGCGUAGUCGGAGUUUUAUGCAAAAUCUUUGCUUUCGUCACGAAGCUUUCCCCCAACCCCCUCGUC